GUGACCUUGUGGACGGCUACACAAUCCCUUGUAAAACAGUCUCUCUGAUCUUGCUCGCUAAUCCAUCAUCCCUUUAAUAGUGUUACCAAUUGAUCAGGAAUGCAGAUCUAUGUGGUAUACCACACACGUGGCACCCAUCCUCAAACUGUCACUGGAAUUGGAGAGAGAAAGGAAAAGCAAACCGCGGAAUGUUUUCUGUCUUUUAACCACUUCACUGGCCGUCUGUAGGAUUUAUUGGGAUUUAAACGGCCAAUCUGUACAUAGGUCACAUGGUCCUGUGACAUCCUAAACUAGCUAAUUGUUGUUAUUAUUAUUUAUAUAGUGCCAGUAAAUUCCGUAGCGCUGCUCAAUGGGAUCCGGGGAGGUGUUUCAACUGGGUCUGUUGCUCACCGAUGUGCGAAAUAUUAUAAAUCAACUUUAAUCCAUACAUUAAUUUAUAUAACGAUAGUAAUUUGCGUUUUGGAUGGAACUUUUCAUUGGUUGUAUUCCGUGCUUUUAUUUUGUAAGCUAGCAAUGGAAUAAUUCUGAUGGUUUUUACACUGGGUUGGGAAACAGAUUGUAAUAUUGCUCACCCUCGGUGAUAAUUGUUAUAUGGUCUUUACAAAGGGAGAGAUGAUAGGUUAACAGACCCAAAACACGGAGCUUCUAGCAAA